rnacentral:rRNA from 1 species
CGCGCAGGCGGUCGUUCAAGUCGCGUGUGAAAGCCCCCGGCUCAACUGGGGAGGGUCACGCGAUACUGAUCGACUCGAAGGCAGGAGAGGGAAGUGGAAUUCCCGGUGUAGUGGUGAAAUGCGUAGAUAUCGGGAGGAACACCAGUGGCGAAGGCGACUUCCUGGCCUGUUCUUGACGCUGAGGCGCGAAAGCUAGGGGAGCAAACGG